rnacentral:misc_RNA from 1 species
CACCGCUGUCGCCGAUCAGCAGCAGCUUUAUGAGGUAAUCGUAGUCGGCCCGCGCCCUAGCAGGUGGAGCAGCCAUGGGUGACGGCGAGGCGGCGACGAUCCGUGAUCGGUGCGAUCGAGAUCAAAUGAGUCCCAUCCGCCGAUCCGCUCCCUAAGGGCAACAGCAGAAUCUGGGGAGGGCGGAGGGGGAGACCGUUGAAGAGUUGGGCGGAGGAGGCUUGUUUUG